CGCGGACCCCGCGGCCCCGCCACCUGGGCUCGGCCCGGCGCAGCGUUUGGAGCCCAGUGGAUCCCGAAAGUGACCAGAGGCUUAAAAGCUGCUAGAAACCAGUGACUCUUCACCCCGGUGGAUCACUAACAGCAGAACAGACUUGACCUUCAUUUGGCUUCUGUCUCCUUCACCACCUUAAACCUGCGGGUUAGGCCCUUGCUCAGCUCUGCAUAUGGGAAGGACGGGACGUUAAUCCCUCAGGGAACAUCUGCUAAGAGCUGGCGCUGUCAGGUCCCUGGUGCUCCGCUGCCACAACUGACCUCACUCCCUUGGAGAAGGGGCACCAGGUAAGAGAGGAACAGGGUGGUCAGCCAGCGCGGAAGUCUCCAGGCGUGGCCUCAGCUGUGAUCUCCUGGAUUCCAGUGGAGCCUCAGCAGAUCGCAGACUGCAGAGCAGAAAGAAGCAGGCACGGCAGGGAGGCCGGAUGCCCGCAAGCAAGGGUCUCUCUGGGGCCAUCGUGCAAAACCAGAACCACAACGACCACCCAGACUCGCUUCUGAAGCGCUCCCUCUCCGAUCCUCUCCGUCAGAACUGCGCCCCCUUCAGUUGGUCACACCGGGUCCCUUCCCAUUUCCUUACUUUCUAAAUCCCCCCCCCCCCCCCGCCCAUGCGCCCUGAAAUGCUUUUCUGUGAGGAGCCAUCAACAACUUGCUUGGGCAGAGUCCA
ensembl:lncRNA